AAAUUGUAUAGAUAUCAUCCAUAUAAUUCUGAUAAUAAGGUUCAGAAGUCUCUACUUAGGUACCACAAAUACCUUUUCUAUGGGUGAAUCCUUUAUA
rnacentral:ncRNA from 1 species